rnacentral:rRNA from 1 species
UACGUAGGGUGCGAGCGUUAAUCGGAAUUACUGGGCGUAAAGCGUGCGCAGGCGGCGCGUUAAGACAGGUGUGAAAGCCCCCGAGCUUAACUUGGGAAUUGCGCUUGUGACUGGCGUGCUGGAGUGGUGGCAGAGGGAGGUGGAAUUCCACGGUGUAGCAGUGAAAUGCGUAGAGAUGUGGAGGAACACCGAUGGCGAAGGCAGCCUCCUGGGC